GCCCCUCAACCAUCAGGUUCGGCAGCCGGCGGCGCCGCCUGGCAGCUCCUCCUCUUCUCCGCCCCGCUGGCCGCGGGCGCGGGGGACGUCAGCGCUGCCAGCGUGGAAAGAGCUGCGGGGCGCGGGAGGAGGAAGUAGAGCCCGGGACCGCCGGGCCACCACCGGCCGCCUCAGCCAUGGACGCGUCCCUGGAGAAGAUAGCAGACCCCACGUUAGCUGAAAUGGGAAAAAACUUGAAGGAGGCAGUGAAGAUGCUGGAGGACAGUCAGAGAAGAACAGAAGAGGAAAAUGGAAAGAAGCUCAUAUCCAGAGAUAUUCCAGGCCCACUCCAGGGCAGUGGACAAGAUAUGGUGAGCAUCCUCCAGUUAGUUCAGAAUCUGAUGCAUGGAGAUGAAGAUGAGGAGCCCCAGAGCCCCAGAAUCCAAAAUAUUGGAGAACAAGGUCAUGUGGCUGUGUUGGGACAUAGUCUGGGAGCUUAUAUUUUGACUCUGGACGAAGAGAAGCUGAGAAAACUUACAACUAGGAUACUUUCAGAUACCACCUUAUGGCUAUGCAGAAUUUUCAGAUAUGAAAAUGGGUGUGCUUAUUUCCACGAAGAGGAAAGAGAAGGACUUGCAAAGAUAUGUAGGCUUGCCAUUCAUUCUCAAUAUGAAGACUUCGUAGUGGAUGGCUUCAGUGGGUUAUAUAACAAGAAGCCUGUCAUAUAUCUUAGUGCUGCUGCUAGACCUGGCCUGGGCCAAUACCUUUGUAAUCAGCUCGGCUUGCCCUUCCCCUGCUUGUGCCGUGUACCCUGUAACACUAUGUUUGGAUCCCAGCAUCAGAUGGAUGUUGCCUUCCUGGAGAAACUGAUUAAAGAUGAUAUAGAGCGAGGAAGACUGCCCCUGUUGCUUGUCGCAAAUGCAGGAACGGCAGCAGUAGGACACACAGACAAGAUUGGGAGAUUGAAAGAACUCUGUGAGCAGUAUGGCAUAUGGCUUCAUGUGGAGGGUGUGAAUCUGGCAACAUUGGCUCUGGGUUAUGUCUCCUCAUCAGUGCUGGCUGCAGCCAAAUGUGAUAGCAUGACGAUGACUCCUGGCCCGUGGCUGGGUUUGCCAGCUGUUCCUGCGGUGACACUGUAUAAACACGACCCUGCCUUGACUUUAGUUGCUGGUCUUAUAUCAAAUAAGCCCACAGACAAACUCCGUGCCCUGCCUCUGUGGUUAUCUUUACAAUACUUGGGACUUGAUGGGUUUGUGGAGAGGAUCAAGCAUGCCUGUCAACUGAGUCAAUGGUUGCAGGAAAGUUUGAAGAAAGUGAAUUACAUCAAAAUCUUGGUGGAAGAUGAGCUCAGCUCCCCAGUGGUGGUGUUCAGAUUUUUCCAAGAAUUACCAGGCUCAGAUCCAGUGUUUAAAGCCGUCCCAGUGCCCAACAUGACACCUUCAGCAGUCGGCCGGGAGAGGCACUCGUGUGAUGCGCUGAAUCUCUGGCUGGGAGAACAGCUGAAGCAGCUGGUGCCUGCGAGCGGCCUCACAGUCAUGGAUCUGGAAGCUGAGGGCACGUGUUUGCGGUUCAGCCCUUUGAUGACCGCAGCAGGUAUGAUCUCGUGAAACCUUGAGAGAAACUGAAUGAGGAAUGAAACUAUUGUUCCUGUUUCACACAGAAGAAAACUGAGGUUGGCACUCAUGAUGAGCCCCUGUUCUCAUUCUGCAAAUGGUGAAGCUCUCUAUCGUCCUGACCCCACAGUUCCUGUCCCAUGACCAGGGCCCGCUCACCAAGGAGCUGCAGCAGCACGUAAAGUCAGUGACAUGCCCAUGCGAGUACCUGAGGAAGGUGACCUUGAGGAACCCUGGGAGCUCAGGAAGGAAGGAGCGCCCAGAAGCAGGGACAGGGAGCUGGUUGGGGAGGACCAGAAAUCAGGUGCCCAACAGCCCCCUUCUCCUCCUUUCCCUUCCCUUACUUCCCCCCUUCCCCUCCCCUUCCCCUCCCCCUCCCCAACUCAGAUCUGGCCCCGGUCCCAUCCCCUUCCCUCCCCCCUGCCCUAAGCCACCUCCACCUCUGUCCUGGCUGCCUCAGGGCGCCCUGAAAGGACCAGGACAUGCGGGUGCGGUGGCUGCGCUUUUGGCUCCUCUUCUGGCUCCUGCUGGGAUUUAUCAGCCAUCAGCCCACCCCUGUUAUCAAUACUCUGGCUGACCAUCGUCAUCGUGAGACUGACUUUGGUGGAAGUCCUUGGAUAAUUAUCAUUAUUGUGUUUCUGGGACGUUACAAAUUUACCAUUCUCUUCUGCACAAUUUACCUUUGUGUGCCUUUCCUGAAGACUAUCUUCUGGUCUCGAAAUGGACAUGAUAGAUCCAGGGAUGUACAGCAGAGAGCUAGGAGGUCCAACCGCCGUAGACAGGAAGGAAUUAAAAUUGGCCUGGAAGACAUCUGUACUUUAUGGAAACAGGCGGAAACAAAAGUUCAAGCUAAAAUCCGUAAGAUGAAGGUCACAAAGAAAGUCAACCAUCAUUACAAAAUCAAUGGAAAGAGGAAGACCGCCAAAGAACAGAAAAUGUUUCAACGUGCGCAAGAGUUGCGGUGGCGGGCAGAGGACUACCACAAAUGCAAAAUCACCCCCUCUGCAAGAAAGCCUCUUUGCAACUGGGUAAGUUUGUUUGUUUUCCUUGCUUUUGGAAGUCUGCCAGGUCAGGACAUGGAUACAUUUUUCUCCCUACAGCUCUGUGCUCAAGCCCUGCAGAGGGAGAUGGCAGAGAGGAAGGCUGCCUACAAGCAUCACAGUCCCAUCCCUGUUGGUAACCGUGUUGUGCAAAAACACCUUCAUCCCCACCCAGUGGGGCCCCUGAUCUAA
rnacentral:lncRNA from 1 species